AGAGUUUGAUUCUGGCUCAGAUUGAACGCUGGCGGCGUGCUUAACACAUGCAAGUCGAACGUGAAAGUCCUUCGGGACGAGUAAAGUGGCGCACGGGUGAGUAACGCGUGGAUAAUCUACCCUUAAGAUGGGGAUAACGGCUGGAAACGGUCGCUAAUACCGAAUACGCUCCCGAUUUUAUCGUUGGGGGGAAAGAUGGCCUCUGCCUGCAAGCUAUCGCUUAAGGAUGAGUCCGCGUCCCAUUAGCUAGUUGGCGGGGUAACGGCCCACCAAGGCAACGAUGGGUAGCCGGUCUGAGAGGAUGACCGGCCACACUGGAACUGGAACACGGUCCAGACUCCUACGGGAGGCAGCAGUGGGGAAUAUUGCGCAAUGGGCGAAAGCCUGACGCAGCGACGCCGCGUGAGGGAUGAAGGUCUUCGGAUCGUAAACCUCUGUCAGAAGGGAAGAAACUAGGGUGCUCUAAUCAUCAUCCUACUGACGGUACCUUCAAAGGAAGCACCGGCUAACUCCGUGCCAGCAGCCGCGGUAAUACGGAGGGUGCAAGCGUUAAUCGGAAUCACUGGGCGUAAAGCGCACGUAGGCGGCUUGGUAAGUCAGGGGUGAAAUCCCACAGCCCAACUGUGGAACUGCCUUUGAUACUGCCAGGCUUGAGUACCGGAGAGGGUGGCGGAAUUCCAGGUGUAGGAGUGAAAUCCGUAGAUAUCUGGAGGAACACCGGUGGCGAAGGCGGCCACCUGGACGGUAACUGACGCUGAGGUGCGAAAGCGUGGGUAGCAAACAGGAUUAGAUACCCUGGUAGUCCACGCUGUAAACGAUGGGUGCUGGGUGCUGG
rnacentral:rRNA from 1 species